CUGAUGUUGGCAGCACAUAUACUAAAAUUAUAUUGAUUCAGAGAUUAGCAUGGCCCCUGUGCAAGGAUGACACACAAAUUCAUAAAAUCUGCCAUAUUUUU
ensembl:snRNA U6 U6 spliceosomal RNA